ACUCAUACCCUGCAGGGCAAAUACCAUGUCAUAAAAGUGUUUUUCCCAGGGGGAGGCUCAUCCGUUGCACUUUGGGUGUGUUGCUGAUCCCUAUGAUUUCCCCAAAUGUGGGGAAUUCAACUGCAUAAUUUGUGUUAAUGGGGAUUGUCCUUGUGAUUUCCCUG
ensembl:snRNA U1 U1 spliceosomal RNA